CAACACCACCAUCAUCACCACCACCAUCAUUGUCAACAUCUUCAACAUCUUCACCAUCACUAACUGGUCAGAAUGACUCAGAGAAUUUUGCUGUUCUGACAUCUUCAGGGACCAGACUCUGCACUGAAAACCUAAGGGCAGCCUGUCCCUUGUGAUGAGGAUUCCAGCACCCCAGAGGUCCCUGACCCAACAUCCUUCUCAGUCCCCACAGAUGUGUACCUUAUCCAGCCAUGCCCCUCCCAGGCAUUUGCCCGGGAUGUCUCUUAGGCAUGCACAAGGAGAUGUGAAUUCAAAUGCUCAUCCCAGCUUCUUGAGCAACAGCAAUGAUGGAAGAAAUCCAAAAUGUCCAUCUAUACAGCAGAGAAAAUGAUGGAGCUGGAGCUGCACGGAUCAGCAUGGAUAAAUCUCAAGCAUGCAACACUGAAUAAAGAAAAGCAAGUUGCAGAAAAUUCCUCUAGGGUGAGAAAUAGAAUCUCAUUGGAGUCUGCAUUUCCUCAUUUGAGUUGUCUUCAAG